rnacentral:rRNA from 1 species
UACGGGGGGGGCAAGCGUUGUUCGGAAUUACUGGGCGUAAAGGGGCGCGUAGGCGGUUCGCUAAGUUGGAUGUGAAAACUCUGGGCUCAACCCAGAGCCUGCAUCCAAAACUGGCGGGCUAGAGUUCUGGAGGGGGUAGCGGAAUUCCUGGUGUAGCGGUGAAAUGCGUAGAUAUCAGGAGGAACACCGGUGGCGAAGGCGGCUACCUGGACAGAAACUGACGCUGAGGCGCGAAAGCUAGGGGAGCAAACAGG